UCGGCCCCGGAUCUCCGCUUCCCUCCCGGUGCGCGCCCCACGUGGGCCUUACACGCUCGCUUGCCGGCCUGCAGCCUCGCACUUCACCCGCUGGACCCCGGGGCGCCCUCCCCCUGACGGACCGCCCGGAGACGGGUCACCUGAGGUCUGGCGGGCCGCCGCGCCAGCGGAGUCCUGAGGACCAUGGCCCCAGCCCGUCUUGCUUUUCCUAUAACUUUCUUCACUCAGUCCAGAUGGACUUCUGAUAUUAUAUACCAGGCAGUGCUUAAUCAUACCCUUUCCCCGUCCCGUUGCCAGCAGCACUCAGACCCUAUCAGGCAUCAGCAAAGAAGGAGAUUUUCGAUUUUCAUUCUUCCACUUGAUAGAUCAUGAUUCUUAAUUUUUGAAAUUUGACUAUAAGUUACCUGUGAAGUAAAACAUGUUUAAUCAA